GGCGACCGGCGCACGGGUGCGUAACGCGUAUGUAACCUACCUAUAACAGGGGCAUAACACUGAGAAAUUGGUACCAAUUCCCCAUAAUAUUCGGAGAGGCAUCUCUCCGGGUUGAAAACUCCGGUGGUUAUAGAUGGACAUGCGUUGUAUUAGCUAGUUGGUGAGGUAACGGCUCACCAAGGCAACGAUACAUAGGGGGACUGAGAGGUUAACCCCCCACACUGGUACUGAGACACGGACCAGACUCCUACGGGAGGCAGCAUG
rnacentral:rRNA from 1 species